rnacentral:misc_RNA from 1 species
CCUCCGUCUCCCUCGUUUGCCCUGCCAGCGAAAAAGAAAAUCAGAACAUGAAAGGCUUGCGUUGGAGCAUCGUUCGACAGAAUAAAAGACCAAUCCAGAUGCACUAUCAAUACUAUUUUAGCACUAUAUAUGUUUCUCUAGUCGCAUAUCUUGUAGCAAGUUUAAGCACUCUGGCAUCAGUAUCUCAUGAUCAACGAAGAAACAGCCACGAUAUUGAACUUUCAGGUAACUUCAAAAAAAAAAAUGAAACUUUCAGGGCAGUUCAGGAAAGCAGAACAUGCUUGGUGUCAAGAAAUGCCAUUGAAGUUUAAUCUGAAAUUUUGAAGCCAAUGAGUG